AAAAUAUUUAGCUAUUCUACUGAGUGCUAAAACUACAAAUUUCCUUAACCGUUCCAUCGCGCAUAUCACUCUCGCUCAAACCCUAAUGAGCGAAAACUCCCAAAAGAACAACUUCUCCUAUGCAAAUCCGAAACUCUCAACUGUGUCUUUGCCAUUGAUAUUCAGUGGCAAAAAACGACUCAAUUUCACUUCAUGUGCUGGAAUUUCAAAGGGGAUCACGCUCUGAUUGAAUACUUAUCAACAUAUCCAGAGUAUUUGAGAAACAAAGAUGUUUGAAAGACCCCAUCUCAAUUCUUUUUCGCUUCACUUUCUUCUGGAAUUCGAGUUCUGGGGAGGUGUUACCACUUACCAGAUUGCGAUUUCUAGGUCAUAAUUUGAAAGAAAUGAGAAAAUAUUGGACUUUUCAAUGCUAUUUGAUAGAAUUUAUGCUGAUGAAACUUAAAUUGCCCGAGGAAAUCAACAUAUUAAGCUUUGUAGAGGCAUGCUACCUCUCUAAGUGAAAUCAAGUCGUUGAGUGCCCUUAUUCAUGUUUUGGUAAGUUUCAUUUUCAUGUGAACUAUGAUCACUUUUACGAGAAGUAUUAAACAUCUUGUAUACAACCUUCUUUGUUUUAUUCAUAUGAAUUUAACUAAAUGUUACUUAGCUUGUAUGAUUUUCUUAAAUUCUAUAGGUCAAUAAUGCUUGCAUUUUUGUGAA